CAGUCGAACGAGGUAAUUUGAUUGAAGUUUUCGGAUGGAUUUCAAGAUACCCAGUGGCGGACGGGUGAGUAACGCGUGGGUAACCUGCCUCAUACAGGGGGAUAACGGUUAGAAAUGACUGCUAAUACCGCAUAAGCGCACAGUGCCGCAUGGUACGGUGUGAAAAACUCCGGUGGUAUGAGAUGGACCCGCGUCUGAUUAGCUAGUUGGUGGGGUAACGGCCCACCAAGGCGACGAUCAGUAGCCGACCUGAGAGGGUGACCGGCCACAUUGGGACUGAGACACGGCCCAGACUCCUACGGGAGGCAGCAGUGGGGGAUAUUGCACAAUGGAGGAAACUCUGAUGCAGCGACGCCGCGUGAGUGAAGAAGUAUUUCGGUAUGUAAAGCUCUAUCAGCAGGGAAGAAAAUGACGGUACCUGACUAAGAAGCCCCGGCUAACUACGUGCCAGCAGCCGCGGUAAUACGUAGGGGGCAAGCGUUAUCCGGAUUUACUGGGUGUAAAGGGAGCGUAGACGGUGACGCAAGUCUGAAGUGAAAUACCCGGGCUCAACCUGGGAACUGCUUUGGAAACUGUGUUGCUAGAGUGCUGGAGAGGUAAGCGGAAUUCCUAGUGUAGCGGUGAAAUGCGUAGAUAUUAGGAAGAACACCAGUGGCGAAGGCGGCUUACUGGACAGUAACUGACGUUGAGGCUCGAAAGCGUGGGGAGCAAACAGGA
rnacentral:rRNA from 1 species